CGGCAUGCCUAAGACAUGCAAGUCGAACGAGGUGGCCCAAAGAAGAUUGAGUGCUUGCACUAAGAUUGGACUUGGAUUACCACCUAGUGGCGGACGGGUGAGUAACACGUAGGUGACCUACCUUGAGUUGGGAUAACUAUUAGAAAUGAUAGCUAAUACCGAAUUAAAUGCAGAUUCGUUUCUGUAUUAAAAGGAGCCUUUAAAGCUUCGCUUAAAGAUGGGCCUGCGGCGUAUUAGCUAGUUGGUGAGGUAAUGGCUUACCAAGGCGACGAUGCGUAGCCGAACUGAGAGGUUGAUCGGCCACAUUGGGACUGAGACACGGCCCAAACUCCUACGGGAGACAGCAGUUAGGAAUAUUCGUCAAUGGGGGAAACCCUGAACGAGCAAUGCCGCGUGAACGAUGAAGGCCCUAUGGGUUGUAAAGUUCUGUUGCAUGGGACGAACGAUUAGGAUAGGAAAUGAUCUUAAUGUGACGGUACCAUGCCAGAAAGCUCCGGCUAACUACGUG
rnacentral:rRNA from 1 species